GAGAGGAAGGAACCGAGAGAGAGGAAGAAACCGAGAGAGAGGAGGAAACCGAGAGAGAGGAAGUAACCGAGAGAGGAAGUAACCGAGAGAGAUGAAGAAACCGAGAGAGAGGAGAAAACCAAGAGAGGAGGAAACCGAGAGAGAGGAGGAAACCGAGAGAGAGGAGGUAACCGAGAGAGGAAGAAACCGAGAGAGGAAGUAACCGAGAGAGAUGAAGAAACCGAGAGAGAGGAGAAAACCAAGAGAGGAGGAAACCAAGAGAGAGGAGGAAACCGAGAGAGAGGAGGAAACCGAGAGAGGAGGCAACCGAGAGAGAAGAAACUGAGAGAGGAGGAAAUCGAGAGAGAAGAAACUGAGAGAGAGGAGAAAACCAAGAGAGGAGGAAACCAAGAGAGAGGAGGAAACCGAGAGAGAGGAGGAAACCGAGAGAGGAGGCAACCGAGAGAGAAGAAACUGAGAGAGGAGGAAAUCGAGAGAGAAGAAACUGAGAGAGAGGAGAAAACCAAGAGAGGAGGAAACCGAGAGAGAGGAGAAAACCAAGAGAGGAGGAAACUGAGAGAGAGGAAGAAACCGAGAGAGAGGAAGAAACCGAGAGAGAGGAAGAAACCGAGAGAGAGGAAGAAACCGAGAGAGAGGCGGAAACCGAGAGAGGAGGUAACCGAGAGAGAUGAAGAAACCGAGAGAGAGGAGGAAACCGAGAGAGAGGAAGAAACCGAGAGAGAGGAAGAAACCGAGAGAGAGGAAGAAACCGAGAGAGAGGAGGAAACCGAGA
ensembl:lncRNA